UUUGCAGCAGGCAGCGACCUUAAGGCGGAUCCCCGUCGGACUCUGGAGGCCACGGACGUAGUUGGCGGCGUAUUUGCCGGCUAAAACAGGGUCUUCACCAGGAGUCUCUUGGCCUCGGCCCCACCGUGGGUCUCGGAAUAUGUUAACAUUGGGGCUCCAGUAUGUCAAACCUGCCAUUCCUCCAUUGUACAUUGCUCUUGCUUCAUCUGACACCACCUGCAAUCCAUAUCCCAACAGUUUAAUAUUCUAUGAAUUACAACAUAUUUAUUUGGUCUUUAUACUCCCAACAUAUUCCCAUGACAGGAGUAAAUAAGUGAAAUUUUGUGUUUUUUUCUUCGAGUUACAUUAAAUAACAUAUUUCUUUAUCAUAUACUAACUCGCAUCAAUUAAAUUAAUCUUUAAAUGAAAUAAAAGUUACGUAGGUAUGGAUUUUUUUUCAUUGAAUGGAAGUGGAACCCUAUGGUCGCCGUAGCCAAGAUAAAUACGUAAAUUAGUUCAUAUUCCAGUGUGGUCACUAAUCAGCUAAUCUCCGAGACUCCAACUGUUCGGCUGAUUUAAGUAGUUAAAUGUAUUUGUUUUUUUUUUUUUUAUAAUUGUAUUUAAAUAUUUAAUUAUAGACAAGGCCCUUCAACUUUAUAAAAAAAAUCAUUUUAGUCCUCUAUUUAAUUUUUUUUUACAUUAAACUUGCAUUGUUUGUCAAGUCACCUUAAAAUAGAUAGAAAAUAGGUGAUAUACAAGUAGAUUACCAUGUGAAGAUUAGGUUUAAAAUUUUCAAAAUUUAUUUAAAGAAAAGUAAAAAAAAAUAACUUUAAUUUAAAAAAAAAUUUUAAUUGCUUACGUGGCAUACCCACGCUAGUAAGGUUAACAAAUUCUAACUUUUCUAUCCAAUUGGAGUGAUUUGCAUGUUAAGAGGGGUGAAAAGUUGGAGAGCAAAAAGAUCAUUCUCCCUUAUAAACUGAUUUUGAUGUUUCAUUAAUAUAAUAAGAUUUAAAAGCAGACAAGGAGAGAGAAUAUUGAAGACAUAGAAAUUUCAUGUGGUUACUGUUUAUGUUGACACAAUUAAGAAACCAAAUAUUAAUUAGUAACUAGAGUCAUACACGUAAGAAAUUCUUACAUAGAGUUUACCCACACUUUUCACCAAUUUUGUGGUCAAAUCAAUACCCCAUUCACAAGGCUUUAAACAAAUAAAACAGUCAAAUUUUAUAUAAUUAAUUUUUUAUAUUUUUACUUCACUCUAUACCUGUUUAAACCUUCCAUCCAUGCAAUGCUAAGGCUGUUUAAGAUUGACAAAAAUUUAAUAUAUCCACACCAUAAGAUAAUAUUAUUCUGAUUACCCGUCCGAUUUGCUCCCAUAGUGAUUCAUUGAAAGAAGCAGCGGAGGUGAUGACUUGAGGGAAGCUGGUGGCACCAGGGAAAGCGCCGCCGAACUUUGUUCCCGGACCAACAUUGGAAACGCCGUGAAGAGCCUCCGACCACCACUCGUACCCUUGAAUCCCCAGCCUCGGCACUGCCGCCGCAUUGUUAACCAACAGCCGGAUCUUCUCCGCCAACGUCAACCUCCCAAUCAAGUCCCUAGCCCUCACGUGAAUCGGCAAAUUCGCCCUGCAAAACUUCAAACUCCUCGUCAACCCAUUCCUAGGAUCGCAUGCAAAUGGCGGACGAGAUUCCGCCGACGAAAUAAAAAAACCCAGAAAAACGGCAGUCG
rnacentral:lncRNA from 1 species